GCCGGCGAUGUCCGAAUGGGGAAACCCAGUGUGAUUCGUCACACUAUCGUUAACUGAAUACAUAGGUUAACGAGGCGAACCGGGGGAACUGAAACAUCUAAGUACCCCGAGGAAAAGAAAUCAACCGAGAUUCCCCCAGUAGCGGCGAGCGAACGGGGAGCAGCCCAGAGUCUGAAUCAGCUUGUGUGUUAGUGGAACGGUCUGGAAAGUCCGACGGUACAGGGUGAUAGUCCCGUACACCAAAAUGCACAGGCUGUGAACUCGAAGAGUAGGGCGGGACACGUGGUAUCCUGUCUGAAUAUGGGGGGACCAUCCUCCAAGGCUAAAUACUCCUGACUGACCGAUAGUGAACCAGUACCGUGAGGGAAAGGCGAAAAGAACCCCGGCGAGGGGAGUGAAAAAGAACCUGAAACCGUGUACGUACAAGCAGUGGGAGCACCUUCGGGUGUGACUGCGUACCUUUUGUAUAAUGGGUCAGCGACUUAUAUUCUGUAGCAAGGUUAACCGUAUAGGGGAGCCGCAGGGAAACCGAGUCUUAACUGGGCGUUAAGUUGCAGGGUAUAGACCCGAAACCCGGUGAUCUAGCCAUGGGCAGGUUGAAGGUUGGGUAACACUAACUGGAGGACCGAACCGACUAAUGUUGAAAAAUUAGCGGAUGACUUGUGGCUGGGGGUGAAAGGCCAAUCAAACCGGGAGAUAGCUGGUUCUCCCCGAAAGCUAUUUAGGUAGCGCCUCGUGAAUUCAUCUUCGGGGGUAGAGCACUGUUUCGGCUAGGGGGUCAUCCCGACUUACCAACCCGAUGCAAACUACGAAUACCGAAGAAUGUUAUCACGGGAGACACACGGCGGGUGCUAACGUCCGUCGUGAAGAGGGAAACAACCCAGACCGCCAGCUAAGGUCCCAAAGUCAUGGUUAAGUGGGAAACGAUGUGGGAAGGCACAGACAGCCAGGAUGUUGGCUUAGAAGCAGCCAUCAUUUAAAGAAAGCGUAAUAGCUCACUGGUCGAGUCGGCCUGCGCGGAAGAUGUAACGGGGCUAAACCAUGCACCGAAGCUGCGGCAGCGACACUAUGUGUUGUUGGGUAGGGGAGCGUUCUGUAAGCCUGCGAAGGUG
rnacentral:rRNA from 1 species